rnacentral:rRNA from 1 species
CCUACGGUGGGCUGCAGUGAGGAAUAUUGGUCAAUGGACGAGAGUCGGAACCAGCCAAGUAUCGUGAAGGAUGACUGCCCUAUGGGUUGUCACCUUCUUUUAUAAAGGAAUAAAACGAGGCACGUGUGCCUUUUUGCAUGUACUUGAUGAAUAAGGAUCGGCUAACUCCGUGCCAGCAGCCGCGGUAAUACGGAGGAUCCGAGCGUUAUCCGGAUUUAUUGGGUUUAAAGGGAGCGUAGAUGGGUUGUUAAGUCAGUUGUGAAAGUUUGCGGCUCAACCGUAAAAUUGCAAUUGAUACUGGCAGUCUUGAGUACAGUUGAGGUAGGCGGAAUUCGUGGUGUAGCGGUGAAAUGCUUAGAUCUCACGAAGAACCCCGAUUGCGAAGGCAGCUUACUAAACUGUGACUGACAUUGAUGCUCGAAAGUGUGGGUAUCAAACAGGAUUAGAUACCCCAGUAGUC